rnacentral:lncRNA from 13 species
CUUAGCCCCAAGACGCAGAGCGCGGCGGCCGCACCCCAGCCCACCUGGCCCCCUGAAAGAAGAGGAAAGGGGCGGGAGCGUCACUGGGUCCCGGCAGCUCCAUUCUAGCUGCGGAGGCCGCGGCGAAGCCUAGGCUGAGAGGAGGUUGCCGGGCCCAGAACUAAAAGAGGCCAGGGGCCUCCCCAGCCCAAGCCUCCAGGGCCUGUCCAAUCCUCCACCCAGCUCCCCCGGCCCUUUCUUCUUUCUUUUCUCCUUUCGGAAGCCGCGGUGCGCAGGGGGAGCAGAGGCACAGCCCGGGCCCGAGAGGCCCGAGUAAACACGCCACUUACUUUGUGUACAGAGGGUUCUUGUGAAAAGCCCUGAAGAGUCCUCACCAAACACUCACCAACUUCUCCCACGUGCCAUUUGUUGACUAAGUGCGGCUGCUUUUCGCUGCGCCCGAGAGGAGGGGAAGCAAGGGGGAGAUAAGAGGGGAGGGGGAGUGGAAGCCUUGGUUGGAGGGGGGCGGAUGACCAAUGCUGGGAGAGUCUCUCUCUCUCCCUCUCUCUCUCUCUCUCUCUCUCUCUCUCUCUCUCUCUCUCUGUGUGUGUGUGUGCGCGCGCGCGCGCGCGCGUGUGUGUGAGUGUCCCGCCAGUGAUGUCGGUAUGUCAGCGUGUGUCCUUUGUGCCACCGGUCAUCUGUGUGUGGUGCGUGUCUCCGCACCACAACUCCCUCUCCUGGGUCUGCUCAGUCCACGGAGGCAGCUCCCCUUCAGCUGUUGCCAGAAAACGGGGAGGAAAGCUUACCCUCAGCCCAGGAUAGCCCUGACUGCAAUUUUCCGACAUCUAGGGCAGCUCCAGGCUCUGAUUCUCCACAGCAAACACAGUGAGCGAGCUCGCCAGUCGCCCAGUCUGCGGAGGCUCCCAGGCCAGCCCCGGCACCCGACUGCCGAGAAGCCCAGAGCUUCCCCAUUAGCCAGCAGAGGCUGGUGGAGAGCCUGGAUGGAGAGAUGGGGUUUCACUGUGUUACCCAGGCUGGUCUCAAAUUCCUGGACUCAAGCAAUCCUCCUGUCUUGUACUCCCGCCAUGCUAGGAUUACAGGUGAGAGCCACUGCACCCAACUUGUCCCUUCCCUUCCUAACAAAACCUUGUUUUAAUUCAGGCAUCCAUUAUCCUUUGAGUGGCAACCUGAUUCCAGGAAGGCAGACAUCGUUUUUUAAUCUCCAG